UGUGCACGGGAGUCCGGACGAAGACGCAGGACGCCAGAACAUCGUAACAAGCUUUGGGAACAUGGACUGAUUGUACAACGACCACCGUUGGACUUAAAAAUUCAUAAUCUUAAACCUGGGGACUGGGUAUUGGUUAAAACGUGGAAAGAAGAAACCCUAAAACCCAAUUGGGAGGGACCUUAUCUUGUUCUGCUUACAACAGAAACGGCUGUCCGGACUGCUGAGCGUGGAUGGACUCAUGCCAGUCGCAUUAAAGGCCCAGUGACGAGACCCCACUGGAAAGUAAUCAGUACUCCAGUUAAAGCUGCAAAGUGGGAAGCCUAUGUAAACAGGCAGAAAGCCCGAAGCAGCCGUUCUCCUGAAGAAUUCCCUUGCUGCCGAGAAGAUGGUACACCCCGUGGCUCGAAGCAACCGAGUCGACGGGCAAGGCAGAGGAGGAACAAACUGUGGAGAACAGAACCAGAACAAUGGGACACUAAAGCAACAAUGGCCGAACUUCCCCAGGACUGGUAAAAAUAUACUUAAAUUAGCAAAAUUGACAGACACCCUUUUUCCUGGUAUACCGUUAGUUUUGUUAUUGAUAAUAACCCAAGCAAAUGGAAACCCUCAUGAACCUUUUAAAUGGACCUUAAUCAGGUGGGAAGGACAAGUAACCAUUCAGACUCAAGUUACUCCAGGAGCCCCUAGUUUUCUCUGUGCGCUGUGUGAUCUCAUACCGGUAAAACCCUGCCUGAACAAACAUGGAUUUUAUUUUUGCCCUAGUUCGAACCAUGAGAAAGGAUACUGUAAUUACCCAGGACAUUAUUAUUGUGCCUACUGGGGUUGUGAAACAGUAGCCUCAGACUGGGAGGUUGACUAAGACAAGUAUUUAUGGGUAGGGUGGGGUCCUUUCGGAUGUGACCCACCGAAACAUGGAACAAAUGGAGGUUUUUUGAAUGAGGGUACAUGUGACAAAAUCUACAUUAAUGUGACACACCCAGAAGAUGCAGGUUGGUUGAUAGGAAAAACAUGGGGGGCUAGACUUUGGGAAUCAGGAACCGAUAGGGGAGGACAUUUCCUUAUCAAAAAGGAACCGAUACCUCACGAUCCUUUACCAGUAGGACCAAAUCUGGUCCUGAAUCCACCCACUUCAUCUGAAGAAAAGGUUGCCCC